AUUCACAUGAAUUAGGCAAACUAUUCACCUUUCUUUGCACUCUUCAGUCUUGAUCUGUCAAGCAGACUCUUAACAGUGAAUGCAACAAUCUUAACAAAAUUGUAUAGACCAUCUCCUAAGAUGAGCGCUAUGCAGAUGAAGGCCUAAAGAACAAGAGAAGGAUACCAAUCCCCUUUCAAAUCACUGAUCAGUGGCCACAUUACCCCCCAUGAGAGAAGCGCACCAAGAAGGAGAGACAGAUUAACAAGGUGGGAGCAAAUCAUCCCUGCCCCAACAUAUGUUAAGCUGAAAUCGAAGAAAAAUCUGAAAUACAAGUAUAUAUUUCAAUCAGUCCAAAAGUGGGAAACUGUGAAAACCCACAAUUGCCUCCACCUGAGUAAAACCACUGGAAGAAGCUCCAGAAGAAGCUGAUUGCAAAGUUGAGUUAUGUGAGAGAAGUAGAGAACCACAUACUUUGCUGUUGCAUCUCCAUGAGUCGUGUGGAAUCCAUUUAUAAGCACAGCUGUUGCACUACCACUUGGAAUAUGGAAGAGCUUGGAGGAAUCAAGUUCGUUUAAGGCUCACAACACAUAUGUUUAGUAGUCGACUUUGUGUUUGAGCUUAUCAAAUUAUGUUUGUGUGGUGGACUUGCGCUGCUUUUUAACUUCUAUUCUGCCAACCUAUGGCUGUAACAAUGUAAUGACUGACGGUUCAAUGCAUCUAUGGAUUUGGCAAGUAUAUCAAAUUGCUAUUCAAAUAUUUAAUAGUAAGUAUAUCAUUACUUUUAAAAAUCUCCAUUUCAUUUGGCA